rnacentral:rRNA from 1 species
UACGAAGGGUGCAAACGUUGCUCGGAAUUACUGGGCGUAAAGCGCACGUAGGCGGCUUUCUAAGUCGGGGGUGAAAUCCUGGAGCUCAACUCCAGAACUGCCUUCGAUACUGGAAAGCUCGAGUCCGGGAGAGGGAUGCGGAAUUCCAGGUGUAGCGGUGAAAUGCGUAGAUAUCUGGAGGAACACCGGUGGCGAAGGCGGCAUCCUGGACCGGUAUUGACGCUGAGGCGCGAAAGCCAGGGGAGCAAACGGG